UAAGGCCUACGGGGCGCAGCAGUGGGGAAUAUUGGGCAAUGGGCGCAAGCCUGACCCAGCAAUGCCGCGUGAAGGAAGAAGGCUUUCGGGUUGUAAACUUCUUUUCUCAGGGACGAAGCAAGUGACGGUACCUGAGGAAUAAGCCACGGCUAACUACGUGCCAGCAGCCGCGGUAAUACGUAGGUGGCAAGCGUUAUCCGGAUUUACUGGGUGUAAAGGGCGUGUAGGCGGGAAAGCAAGUCCGAUGUGAAAACCAUGGGCUCGACCUGUGGCCUGCAUUUGAAACUGUUUUUCUUGCGUACUGG
rnacentral:rRNA from 1 species